CUGAGCCACCAGGCUGUGCCUUGGCCCCAGGAGGUGCCAGCAACCCAAUAAAGCAUCACAUUUCUCACAUCUCUCUCGUCUCAGUGUUUCCUUAAGCUCCUCAUCCUUAUUUUCCGUUCAUGCUCAUUCCAUAUAUGCCUCUCUCGCUUUCAACCCUUGUGAUACUCUGACCAGACCUGGUAUGGAUCAUCCCUGGAUACUCAUCCCUGCUCUCCUCCACCAACUGGGUCCCAGGUGAUGGAGAAAACCCCAAAAGCUCUCCACAUCCUGCAGGAAUGCCCAGCCCUGGAUUCCCCCAGAGCCCCCACAUCCCCGGGGCUUUGCACUCUUUUCCCACCCCCAUGGGGCUUCCCAACCUCAACAGCUUUUUAGAUGCUGCCCUGAGCUGGUGAUCACCGGCUGGCACACAACAAUCAGGCAGGUUUUGUGUUGUACAGGUUUUAUUGCUUUUUUUUAAUGGUCUCACAAUAUUUAUAUAAGAAAGACAAAAAUAAGCCCAAAACCCUUUUAGAUAUUUACAAUACAGUCAAGGCAGUUGAUGUAGCAACUCAUUUGGACUGAAGGACUGGACCCUGCUCGCAUCAGCUUGAGGGAAAUAUAUCACUGCAGCAAACAUCCAUCCUCGUGGUUAAGUGACCAUGAAGUGAAUCCUUAUCUCUGACUUUGCUCUCUGGCUUUCCAAAACUUAUAGGUGAGGACAGGAAUAUUACACACCUGACAGCUAUCUGCAAUAUUUUUUUCCACUGGAGUUUGGGGUUUCCAGCAUCCCCUCCUUGCUAUUAAAGCAGCUUUGUUUUAUUGGUUUCUGUAUCAGGAGCAAAGCCUUAAUCAAGAAUGGAUCACUCACUGUCAGCUGCAUUUCUUUGUGCAUCUCUCUGCUUUUUACACAAAAACAUGGGUAAAAGUUUUCCUAAACUUAAAAAAUAAAACUAAUAAAAAAAGAAGUCUGGGAUUCCCUUUUUUUUCAAUGGAAAAGGAAGACAACACACUGGCUGAGCUGUAUUUACGGGACCAAAACAUCUCCGAAGUGCUGAGGUGUGUUUCUGGCCCCCUCAAACCCGUGGGAAUUUUGUUGUUGACUUCAAAUCAGCCAGAGAUGAACUCCCAACCACAGACCUUUAAUUUUCCCCAAAUAAUUUUCUCUCUUUAUUCAUUAUUACUGGACAGCCUGAGUCAACUAAUUGCAUAAUUCAUUCCAGCCCUUCUGAGUAGCGAUUUUUCACUUUCUACCCAUUAAAACCAAAGGAGCUGGCAGAGGACAGUGUUCAUACAUCAGCCCUGGUUUUGCUGCUGCAUUUAUGUGAAGAAAACAGCAAAUCUGUCCCCGUACCCCCAGAUCUUCAAGCUGCAUUUGCAAAGCACCCCAAAGAGACGCCCAUGGAGCAUCGGGACAAAAGAAAUAGGAAACCCAGGGUUAUUU
rnacentral:lncRNA from 1 species